AGUUGAGCUUCGGGCUGCGGUGGUGGGGCGAGCUGCCCGCGCUGCCGGGACCGAGGCGGGCCUGCAGACCGCCCGCCGCCCCCCCCAGGACCUGGCUGGUCGCCCCCUAAGACCGCCCGCCACCCCCAGGUCCAUCCGCCGGAGCAGGCGUUAUGGUCACGCCUCUUUCCCCCCAAGUAAUAAAGCUCAUCUAUUAAAGGAAGGUUUAGAAAUGCAAAUUUCGGGGUUGUUUGACAAGCUACUUCACUGCCUGGUGUGGUUCUUUGGGCAUCAUGAGGCAAACAGCCGGGCUGUGAACAGCCUCCGGGGACCGGGGGCAGCCUCUAGAUCCCAGGGCAGCCAACAGCCAGCAAGAAGCCAGGACCCUCAGUCAUCAGCUGUGAGGAAAUGAAUCCCGUAAACACCUUGCAUGGGCCUGGCAGCGGAUUCUCCUCACUGAGACCUCCAGGUAAGAAUGCAGCCCGGUCAACCCCUUGAUAGCAGCCUUGUGAGACCCUGAGCAGAAGACCAGCUAAGCUGAGCCCAGACUUCUGACCCACGGAAACUGUGAGAUAAUUAAUGGGCAUUGUUUUCAGCUGCUAAACCUGUGGUCCUCUCUUGUGUAGCACAGAAAAC